rfam:Eutrema salsugineum unplaced genomic scaffold scaffold_14, whole genome shotgun sequence.
UCGAUGAUGAUUAAUUGCUAAAACAUGGAAUUACCGUCUGAGUUAUAUACUUUGGUGAGAAAAACGCUGCUUUAACUGAGA